CAGCAGCCGCGGUAAUACGUAGGUCCCGAGCGUUGUCCGGAUUUAUUGGGCGUAAAGCGAGCGCAGGCGGUUAGAUAAGUCUGAAGUUAAAGGCUGUGGCUUAACCAUAGUACGCUUUGGAAACUGUUUAACUUGAGUGCAAGAGGGGAGAGUGGAAUUCCAUGUGUAGCGGUGAAAUGCGUAGAGAUGUGGAGGAACACCAGUGGCGAAGGCGACUCUCUGGUCUGUAACUGACGCUGAGGAGCGAAAGCGUGGGGAGCGAACAGGAUUAGAUACCCCGGUAGUCCCUGUCUCUUAUACA
rnacentral:rRNA from 1 species